UCCAUCCAUCGAACUCGAAGCGUAGCCCCUGAGCCUCCCUCACCGAGCCCUCAUCUCAUAUGUCUGUGUCGAAUUCCAGCCAGCCACCGGCCCACCACCACACCAUACUAUCAUCUCUGACUCUCCAACCUUCCUUCACCACACAGCCACCGCUCUCUCUCGGGCGAUUUUUUCUCACGGAUAGAACUCGCGAUCUCUCUCAACACCACACCGAUUUCGAAGUUCACUUUUCACAACAAUCUUGAAUCUUCCCUUACUGGUUUUAGAAGAGCGAAAGGCUAUUCAAUUUUGGGAUCGUCUGCGGAAGACACACUAACUUAAGGUGAGACGCCAUAUCUCUAUCUUCUCCUUCAAUUUUUUAUUUGUUGUUAUUUCUCUGUUUUAGGGUUUCUAGUGUGUGUGUGUGUGUGUGUGUGUGUGUGUGUGUUUUGCGUUCUCAAGGGAUGAUGAAUAUAUUAAUCUAGCUGAAAUGAUAGGGAUGUGAAAUAGAAGGAGAAACUUAUGUGAGAUGAGUGAGUUGUGAUGAAUUUUGUCAUGAUAUCAUGGAUUAGUAAACAGAUAGUUAGUUGUAGCGUCCUUUUUUUGGUUGUUAGAUUCUGCUUUGAAGUUUUCAAAUGGUUUUAAGUUUUAACUGCUAACGAUAUUGUUAGUUCAGUCAAAAUGUUUUAGAUGAUCAGCUUUCUUGAUUCCAGUAUAGCCUGCUAUGUAGAGUAAUAGAACCCUGUUUAAACCUUGACACUGAAAGAGAACCAGGAUCACAUUUAAGAACUCUCGCAUAUCAUUCACUUAACUCAACUAUAUAUAGCAGGUUGCAAGUUCAGCUAAAGACCCAUGAAUUAACUAAUUGCUAAUCACAUAAUUAACUGUUAGUUAGCUAAUUGACUAAUAAGAUGCUUACUCAUCAAGAUGACUAAACUAAUUGACAUUGCAUCCUAUCUUUGAGACAUGACAUUACAAAGUCUGUAGGUUUGCCAGCCCCUAACUAUUUAAGUUUUUAUGAUUCAAUUUCAAAUACUGACGCUUUUGGUUCAAACCAGUUGAUGACAUGAAUAUUUAGUCUAUGAUCAUGCACAUUUAAAUGCAAAUUAAUCCUUUUUCCUGGUUCCACUCCUUAACCAAUGCCAAGUAUGAGAGCUCCACUAUUUACUAAUAAGUGAGAAGAAUAAUUGAAUAAAUGUGUUGUGGUGCACUUGAUUAAGCCGCGGUUUGGGCAAGGAGAGUAGAAGAGAGUAGAAGAGAGUAAGAUCAUGACUUUUUUCAUUCUGUAAACUGAAACAAAAAAAUAAAUAAAGCUACAAAGGGAGAAGAAAACAAAACCCAAGACAGAACCAUGACAUUCGAUCUUUCACUACUCUUGAUUUGUGGUUGUCACAUAACCUGCCUAUAUGUCAAAUUUUCAAUAUAGAAGGUUGAAUUUUAGCCCAAAAGCAUAAUAUGUCAAAUUUUAGUCCAAAAGCCCAAAACCAUUUCGGGAUUCCCGAUUUGUCCCAAAAUCUCGAAACUAUUUCGGAAUUCCCGAAAAUUUGGUUUGGGAUCAGUAUUGAAAUUGGGAUUCCCGAAAAUUUCGGUUUGAGAAUCAGGACAAGGGUUUCAGUAUGGGAUCCCAUACCGAACCACCCCUAAUUGUGGGAACUGGGGUACCACACUCCCCAGUACCCCAGUCCCCACAAUAAUAAAUUUAUGCUCGAUAACUUUUGACACUCGCGAGUUUUGACGCAUUCAUCCUAAUUUUACAAGUCCAUUCAUAUUAUAACAAUUAUUAAGUAUAACGACGUUUAUAUCUCGUCCAACAGUCGAAACUAUUCACUCGCGUUUGAGCAACAUAUAUUUGAUAAAAUCCAUUAGUUUUUGUGUAAUUGGAUGAAUUCAUGACAUCACAAAAUGUUUUGUUAUACUUGACUUGAAAGUUUAUUCCAGUAUUCUUUCUUUCUUUCCUUUUUCUUUCUUAACUUAUAUUUAUGAUAUAGAAUUUAAUAACAUUUCGAAGAAGAUGAUGAAAGAAUCUGCAAAUUAUUCAUCACCCACUUAGCAAACAAGUUGGAUUAUAUAUAUUGAUCUCCAGUACCUCAUCAAUUUCAAACGAGAUAUAUAUUAUAUGGCUCCAUUUGUUCCAUAAAUUCUGCAGAUAAUUUGGCUUUAUUCUUCGUACUAUCAUUUUGAUUUGAGGCUAAGAUACCUCUAGUCCUUGGAGGCAUAUUAUUUCAAUUAUCAAAGGCAUGAGCAGUGAGCCAGCUGAUCAAUAUCUUUAUAUUAUCCACAAAGCAUAAGCCAUUAGCUAGGGGUUUGAUUAAACAAGGACAGAUAAAGGAGCUUUAGUGGUGGAAAAUUGCUUCUUCGGACUCUGCGCAUGCAGUAAGUGAAAGUUCCAUUGUUCGCAUAGUUCGCAACAUAAUUUUGAUUUUGAUUUUUGAAAGUGAUUUAGUUGAUUCAAGGUAGAAGCUUUUUGUGGAACAUAAUGGAACUUUCUUGGCUGUAAAGACUCGAAGAAUACAUGUAAAGGCUGCUGCAUAUAGCACUUUAUCUUUGAGUUAAACACUCAUAUCUUAUAUAUUCGAUUUUAGUAUGGUUUUAGUGGUGGGGA